UUCUGACCGUAAACGAUACCAUCUAGCGAUCCGGUGGUGGUUUUACCGCCUUGCCGGGGAGCUUCCCGGAAACGAAAGACUUCCGGUUCCGGGGGUAGUAUGGUUGCAAAGCUGAAACUUAAAGGAAUUGACGGAAUCGCACCACCAGGAGUGGAGCCUGCGGCUUAAUUUGACUCAACACGGGAAAACUCACCCGGCCCGGACACUGUAAGGAUUGACAGACUGAAAGCUCUUUCUUGAUUCGGUGGUUGGUGGUGCAUGGCCGUUCUUAGUUGGUGGAGCGAUUUGUCUGGUUUAUUCCGAUAACGAGCGAGACGCACCCCUACUUAAUACACCGUGAAUAAUUUCGUUCACAGGUGUUCUUAGAGGAAUUGGCGGAAUAAAACCGCACGAAAGUGCGCAAUAACAGGUCUGUGAUGCCCUUAGAUGUUCGGGGCUGCACGCGUGCUACACUGGAGUCUGCAACGUGUUCCAUGGCCGAAGGGUCACUGGUAAACCGUUGAAAAGAUUCCGUGAUCGGGAUAGGGAAUUGCAAUUAUUUCCCUUGAACGAGGAAUUCCUAGUAAGUGUGAGUCAUCAUCUCGCUCUU
rnacentral:rRNA from 1 species